ACCACAUUUGUGUUGCUGCUCAGCGGUCAGGCAGCACUGGUCAUAGAGUGGACUGUUUGUGAAGAUAAACCUGCCAAGGGAUCCCUGCAUUACCAAUCGCUGUGGUAGAAGUGCAGGAUCUGGAACAGCCAGGGUGAGUGGUUAUGCAUCUCAGGAACUCCAGCCCUUACCUGGGGCCUGGCUGCCCCACACAUCCCAGGACAUCUGUAAGCCCUCGUGCUGACAACCUCAUUUUAUCGCAGCAGACACCUAGAAACAAAACACUGGACCCACCAGAGAAAACUGGGCAAUAAAAGCAUCAGAAUUCAAGUCAACUAUGGAAGAAUUACUGUUAGCUGGCAGCUCUCAGCUCUAAACAGAAGUGGCCCACGCCUAUUGGGUUUGACAAGUUUCUCAGAACUGGGGAGUUGGGAAAGUUGGACUCUUUUUAAAUUCCAAUUGUCUUAUGCAUAGGGAAAUUAAAGUCAAUGCAUCAAAUGAAGACCCAAAGAAACAUUUAAAAACUUGUUGGACUAGUAUUCAGUAUGUGAGAUUAAGUAAUAACUUGUCCUCCUAGUUAACCUUGUCCUGGAAUAUAUAUAGGUUAUUUGUAGCCGCCACUGCUAUAAUAUUUUCUGAAGGAUGCCAAGCUGUAUGCAAGAUCUUUUUGCUAAAGUCCAGACUGUCGACACUGAUCUCGUCUUUUCUCCGCUUGCCCCCCACGCACACUUUUCGGGGCUUGAGGAUAGCCCGGGGUUUGCUGUUCUCCCUCGAGGCCUCAAGGGUCACAUCACGCUUGGUGUUUCGGUCAAACAUCCUGAAGAAGUUGUUGUAGGAGCCUGUCAUGAUGACACUGCCAGACAGAGAGGAAAGAGGGAGAGACUGAGCGUUGUAAGGAAAGGCAGUAACCUGUUCCAGUUGUCUUUCUGAAGCAAAUGAUAGCACAUCAUGGCCAACGGCACUGUAGGUUGUAUUAAAGAAAGAGCGAGAAAAAGGAUCUUUAUUGUGACCAUGGACUUCCUUUUGAAUCACUAAUGGUGAUAACUUUCUUCUUAUUCACUUUUGUUCUAUAUAUUUUGGUUCUUUGGUUUGCUAAAUGAGUGCAGUCAUUAUGAUCCCAGCCCUACCUAUCUU